GUCAGAAUGGCCGAGUGGUCUAAGGCACCAGACUCAAGUUCUUGUCCACGUAUGUGGGCGUGGGUUCGAAUGCCACUUCUGACA
rnacentral:tRNA from 1 species